GCCAGCAUGGUGUAGUGGUUUGAGUGUUGGACUACCACUCUGGAGACCUGGGUUCAAUUCCCCACUCUGCCA
rnacentral:tRNA from 1 species